CCUACGGGCGGCAGCAGUAGGGAAUCUUCCACAAUGGGCGAAAGCCUGAAGGAGCAACGCCGCGUGGAUGACGAAGGUCUUCGGGUCUUAAAACCCUGUUGUUAGAGAAGAAAGUGCGGGAAAGUAACUGUUCACGUUUCGACGAUAUCUAACCAGAAAGGCACGGCUAACUCCGUGCGAGCAGCCGCGGUAAUGCGGAGGUGGGAAACGUGAGCCGGAGUGAUUGGGCGUAAAGGGCACGAAGUCGGUAGUUUAGGUCUGAUGUGAAAGCGUGCGGCUGAAACGGAGUAGUGCAGUGGAGACUGGGAGGCGUGAGUGCAGGAGAGGUGAGUGGAACUCGAGGUGUAGCGGUGAAAUGCGUAGAUAUAACGAAGAACACCAGUUGCGAAGGCGGCUCUCUGGUCUGUAACUGACGCUGAGGUUCGAAAGCGUGGGUAGCAAACAGGAUUAGAUACCCGAGUAGUC
rnacentral:rRNA from 1 species